rnacentral:lncRNA from 1 species
CCUUUCUUGAAAGGAAUGUUAGUUUUAUUCCCUGACUUCCGAAAUAACCGUCAGCAACAGAGCCAACUGGGCCCUUGUGUGUGCUGAAUGCUUUUCUCCAGGGAGUCAGUAAGUAGUGAGCAGUGGCAUGGUUUCCUUCUCCAUUUAUGGCCUUGGAAGGGUGAAAGGGACAUGGUUGGGACUCUCCAUUUACGGUCCUUGGAGGAGUUGAAAAGAGUGGUUGGGGUGUUCUUGGAGGCAGAAACUAGACAUUGUGAGAUAAAAAUAAAUUGGCAAGGGAUGUUUGGAAUUCAAAUUCCAAUCCCUGCAAGGAGGGC